ACGAACGCUGGCGGCAGGCCUAACACAUGCAAGUCGAGCGAGGUAGCAAUACCUAGCGGCGGACGGGUGAGUAACGCGUGGGAACGUGCCCCUUGGUACGGAAUAGCCCCGGGAAACUGGGAGUAAUACCGUAUGAGCUCUACGGAGGAAAGAUUUAUCGCCAAGGGAUCGGCCCGCGUUGGAUUAGGUAGUUGGUGGGGUAAUGGCCUACCAAGCCGACGAUCCAUAGCUGGUUUGAGAGGAUGAUCAGCCACACUGGGACUGAGACACGGCCCAGACUCCUACGGGAGGCAGCAGUGGGGAAUCUUAGACAAUGGGGGAAACCCUGAUCUAGCCAUGCCGCGUGAGUGAUGAAGGCCUUCGGGUUGUAAAGCUCUUUUAGCAGGGAAGAAGCGAAAGUGACGGUACCUGCAGAAAAAGCACCGGCUAACUACGUG
rnacentral:rRNA from 1 species